UUCCUUGUUCUUCCCGCCUAUAUACCACCGUCGUCAGCUUACCCUGUGAAGGUUUAACAGUAAGCAAAACUGGCAAAGCCCAAAACGUCAGGUCGAGGUGUAGCGUAUGGAAGGGGAAGAAAUGGGCUACAUUCACUAACUCAGUGCACACGAAUGACACCCUGAAACACGUGUCUGAAGGAGGAUUUAGCAGUAAGCAGAAAAUAGAGCGUUCUACUGAAACUGGCCCUGAAGCGCGCACACACCGCCCGUCACUCUCCCCGAGCUAAGACUCAUCCAAUAAAUAAACACCUAUAACUGUAAAGGGGAGGCAAGUCGUAACAUGGUAAGUGUACCGGAAGGUGCACUUGGAAAAAC
rnacentral:rRNA from 1 species